CAGUAGCCACGGUAAUACAGAGGGUGCAAGCGUUAAUCGGAAUUACUGGGCGUAAAGCGCGCGUAGGUGGUUUGUUAAGUUGGAUGUGAAAGCCCCGGGCUCAACCUGGGAACUGCAGUGGAUACUGGGUCACUAGAGUGUGGUAGAGGAUAGUGGAAUUUCCGGUGUAGCAGUGAAAUGCGUAGAGAUCGGAAGGAACAUCUGUGGCGAAGGCGACUAUCUGGGCCAACACUGACACUGAGGCACGAAAGCGUGGGGAGCAAACAGGAUUAGAUACCCGUGUAGUCCCUGUCUCUUAUAC
rnacentral:rRNA from 1 species